rnacentral:misc_RNA from 1 species
GAUGAAGAACGCAGCGAAAUGCGUUAAGUAGUGUGAAUUGCAGAAUUCAGUGAAUCAUCGAAUCUUUGAACGCACAUUGCGCCCCUUGGUAUUCCAUGGGGCAUGCCUGUUCGAGCGUCAUUUGUACCUUCAAGCUCUGCUUGGUGUUGGGUGUUUGUCUCGCCUCUGCGUGUAGACUCGCCUCAAAACAAUUGGCAGCCGGCGUAUUGAUUUCGGAGCGCAGUACAUCUCGCGCUUUGCACUCAUAACGACGACGUCCAAAAGUACAUUUUUACACUCUUGACCUCGGAUCAGGUAGGGAUACCCGCUGAACUUAAGCAUAUCAAUAAGCGGAGGA